rnacentral:lncRNA from 1 species
ACCAGCUCGCGUCCCUCCCCGGCCAGGGCCACCGCCGUCCGAGCGCCCGCGAGGGCUGGCGCCCCAUUCCCGGCGCAACGAGUGUUGCGCAACGGCCCACGCGGCCGACACGACCGGAGCGAGCCUGCGGAGGAGCCCGGGAGCCCCCCGUCCCACCGCCCCGUCCGCUCUUGGCUCCCUUCACCCUCCCGGUCGCCGCGGUGGCUCUGCGCUCCCCGCGACCCUCACUUGCUCGCAGAGGCGCUUUUUGUCUUCCUGAGAGCCGCAGCCUGCUGGGCUACCUGUUGCCGACUGAGCACUGCGGGUUGCGGCUACCCGGGCGUGGCCCGGACCUCGGCCUCCCCUUCCCCGCACACUCCCGAGAGGAGCCCUCUACCUUGGGGUGGGCAGGAGGGAAGGCGGGGGGUGGCGGCUGGCAAGCUGCCAACACUCGGGGCGCGCUGCGGCGGGGAAGGGGUUGGCGCGGCCGGGCAGCUGCGCAGGGCUGCGCGGCGGAGGCAGCGAUUAAAAUGUCCCGGCGCCUCUCCCGAGAGCCGCGACGGCCCGGAGCCGGGAGGGAAAGCUCCACGCACAAACACCGCCCCCUGCACAAUUAGGGCGAAGAUGACGGCUGCAAAGUUGUUGCGUAACACGACUGGGAAACGAGGCUCGCUGAGGUCCAUCUACCCACCCCCGCCACGCGGGUGCGGCGUUCCUCGGAGGAUGUGAAGGUCCGCGCUCGGGUGCCCCCGCUGGGACGCCCACUGUCGUUUGGUGCUGGGGCUUGAGACGACCGCGCGGGAUCUCUUCCUGUGAUUUUGAGCUGAUAGCUGCUUAGUGUUAUUUCUGCGUCUAACUGGAUACGGUAGUCUUCUCUCCCAAAUUCCCGGGCUACGGAAGAGACGUAAAAAAAUGGAAAAAAGAGCACCUAGCCGCGACUUCUUAAGUCGUCGCGCUAGACUGUCAAGGCACGUGGCACACUCCCUGCGUUUACCGAUACACGGAUAGUGGUCAGUGCUGGCCUUGGCGAAGGGAGCCAUGUUCCCGACAGUGACUCACAGGCUUGCCCAAAUACGGAGUGUGGCAGGUGGGCAGGACCUCCACCAGCCAGCUCCCUCCUGGUCUCCUUGAACUACGUGGGGGCUGGGCCGAGUGCCUCCACGACUUUCCACUUCUUUUUGCUCCUUUCGUUUUUAAAAAGCAAAAACCAAAGUAAAGAGAAGAGCAGAGUGAACACCCAGGUACCAUCCCUAGUGUCUGCCAUGAGCAGCAGAUCUAUCUACUCGCCAAGAUUGUCUUUUCUACCUUUCCCCUUCUUGCACAGUUAAUAUCAUAAUAACGCAAGUCAUAUUUAAAAAAUUUUUAUCACCUAUCAGUUGAGUUUUUGGAAAGCCUUCCAGGGCAGCGUUGUGGUUUUGAACGCACUCUUGUUCGUGAUUUAUCUGGUAGUACAGCUCUGCUGACAAGGCUCUGAAAACUCAGACGUACAAUAUGGGCUUAGCGUGUUCCCCGACACCAUCUUCCCGGUGCUGACUAAUGCAAGAACCACAUCCCCUCCACUACACAUUUUCCAAACUUGACUACCUUCAUGAGAACAAAUCCUGAUUUUAGUUUAUAAUUUCCACUUUUCUCAUACAUAUAUAAUAAUUCAAGAUGUGGUCUUACUAUGUUGUCCAGGUUGGCCUGGAACUCCUGGGCUCAAAGGAUCCUCCGGCCACAGCCUCCCUGGUAGUGGAAUUACAGGCGCAUGCCACUGUGCCUGGCCACUUUUCUCAAAUUUACUGAUAGUUUCCUUUUUGCCCAAACCUUACAAUGCUUAUUUGUAGCUUUGAGAACCUCUCUUAGAUGAAAUCAAAAUCAUAUCCAUAUUAGUUGCCUUUUUGGGGUCAGAAAUGCAGCUAUUGUCUAGAAAUCCAGGGCUGUCCUGCAUAAUCUACCCUCCCCUUCACGUGUUCUGACCUUGUUCUGCAUUUUGAAUAAUUUCAUGGAAUUUCAAAGCCGUUGUAGUAAAUGUCUUUCUUUAAAGACAACUCGACCUUCAAGACAGGUAAAGAACGUGCCUGGAGCCACCCCAGGCAGUGAUGCUGGAGGAGUUCUCUCAACCUGGAAACUUAUUCUUUAUGCUGAAUUUUGAAAUCGAAUGCUCCUAUAUUUACUUGGAGUAUUUUAGAUUGUGUAUGUAUUAUAUCUGUGCAUCAUUCAUUGUUACCAUCUAACUUGGAAAUCAGAGGAAGUGUGAAAGGUAUCUGAGAUACCAGCUUAGAAAACAACUCUUUAGCUCCUCCUGGUGAUUAGGACACCACUAAACAACAGGAUGAAGGAUCUGUCCCCAGGGCCGAAGUGAUGAUGUAUCUAAUAUUAUAUCCUAGAACAUUCACAGAGUAGCUGCAGAAUGUCUUGAGCUGGAACAUCCCCAAGAGGCCAUAUAUAUAUCCCAGGGAUUUUACAGUGGACCUCACUAGGCCGGAGUAACUGUAAAGUCAGAUGGAUAAUGAGAAUUCAGGACGUUAGCCACACGUGGACUGUGGCAAAAAGAAAGUGACCCACUGAAGAAGACUGUUUUUCAGCUCUCUCAUCAAUUGCUGUUUCCAGGAGCCCACAGCUCCAAUUACUCAAAAGAACGUUGACUUUUUUUUUUUUGGUAAAAUAUCCUGAUUUUCAGGUUAGGCAAGCAAUUCAUUAAAAAAUAAAAGACUGCACAGCCCACAGCUCCAAUUAUUCAAAAGAAAGUUGACUUUCUUUUUUUUGGUAAAAUAUCCUGAUUUUCAGUUUAGGCAAGCAAUUCAUUAAAAAAUAAAAGACUGCAGGACUUACCUACCCAGAGGCUGGACAGUCUGAGUCCUCUGAGUUCUACAGAGAUGUCCUGGGAACAGGGGGUGGAGACGGGGGACUCAGUGGCUAAAAAGCAGGCUGCCUACCUGGCAACCAAAUUGGGCAGCUCUACCCUAUCUGUUUUGUGCAUUGGACUUAUGGAUUUCUUUGUAGAAAAAACUUCGAUAACUAAAAGCCCUUUGGUGACCUCCUGUCUGGUCUGGUGGCCGGCAGCCUGCAUCAGGGCUCCUGUGUGCCAGGACCAUUUUCUUUCCACUGUAGUAUGUUUAUGGACCACCUUGUGUCUUUUUAUUAAACUCCAGGAACAGAAGUUCAGUUUCUGGGAAUCCAUAGC